GACGUAGGGUGCAAGCGUUGUCCGGAUUUACUGGGCGUAAAGGGUGCGUAGGCGGGUCUUUAAGUCAGGGGUGAAAUCCUGGAGCUCAACUCCAGAACUGCCUUUGAUACUGAGGAUCUUGAGUUCGGGAGAGGUGAGUGGAACUGCGAGUGUAGAGGUGAAAUUCGUAGAUAUUCGCAAGAACACCAGUGGCGAAGGCGGCUCACUGGCCCGAUACUGACGCUGAGGCAUGAAAGCGUGGGGAGCAAACAGG
rnacentral:rRNA from 1 species